CACUCCUACGGGAGGCAGCAGUGGGGAAUUUUGGACAAUGGGGGCAACCCUGAUCCAGCAAUGCCGCGUGAGUGAAGAAGGCCUUCGGGUUGUAAAGCUCUUUUGUCAGGGAAGAAACGGUGGUGGCGAAUAACUACUACUAAUGACGGUACCUGAAGAAUAAGCACCGGCUAACUACGUGCCAGCAGCCGCGGUAAUACGUAGGGUGCAAGCGUUAAUCGGAAUUACUGGGCGUAAAGCGUGCGCAGGCGGUUGUGUAAGUCAGAUGUGAAAUCCCCGGGCUCAACCUGGGAAUUGCAUUUGAGACUGCACGGCUAGAGUGUGUCAGAGGGGGGUAGAAUUCCACGUGUAGCAGUGAAAUGCGUAGAUAUGUGGAGGAAUACCGAUGGCGAAGGCAGCCCCCUGGGAUAACACUGACGCUCAUGCACGAAAGCGUGGGGAGCAAACAGGAUUAGAUACCCUUGUAGUCCC
rnacentral:rRNA from 1 species